AGCGAACGCUGGCGGCAGGCUUAACACAUGCAAGUCGAACGGGCAUAGCAAUAUGUCAGUGGCAGACGGGUGAGUAACGCGUGGGAACGUACCUUUUGGUUCGGAACAACACAGGGAAACUUGUGCUAAUACCUGAUAAGCCCUUACGGGGAAAGAUUUAUCGCCGAAAGAUCGGCCCGCGUCUGAUUAGCUAGUUGGUAGGGUAAUGGCCUACCAAGGCGACGAUCAGUAGCUGGUCUGAGAGGAUGAUCAGCCACAUUGGGACUGAGACACGGCCCAAACUCCUACGGGAGGCAGCAGUGGGGAAUAUUGGACAAUGGGCGAAAGCCUGAUCCAGCCAUGCCGCGUGAGUGAUGAAGGCCCUAGGGUUGUAAAGCUCUUUUGUGCGGGAAGAUAAUGACGGUACCGCAAGAAUAAGCCCCGGCUAACUUCGUG
rnacentral:rRNA from 1 species